AGUGAACGCUGGCGGCAGGCCUACAACUUCAAGUUCGAACGCAAGACAAGUGAGAUCGUGCUCUUGGUGGUGACUGGUGGACGGGGGAUGAGUGAAACGGAGUCAGCUCAUUUGUCGGGGAUAAUCACGUGGAACAGGGACCAAUACUGCAUACGACCUACGAGGGAUAGCAGCGGAUGAUCGUAGGACCUGGCGCGGGUUGAGGAGACGAUGUCGGAUUUGCUAGUUGGGGGGGUAAAGGCCCACCAAGGCGACGAUCCGUAGCUGGUCUGAGAGGAUGAUCAGCCACACUGGAACUGAGACACGGUCCAGACUCCUACGGGAGGCAGCAGUGGGGAAUAUUGGACAAUGGGCGCAAGCCUGAUCCAGCCAUGCCGCGUGGGUGAAGAAGGCCUUCGGGUUGUAAAGCCCUUUUGUUGGGAAAGAAAAGCAGCAGGUUAAUACCCGGCUGUCAUGACGGUACCCAAAGAAUAAGCACCGGCUAACUUCGUG
rnacentral:rRNA from 1 species